rnacentral:misc_RNA from 1 species
CGAAAUGCGAUAAGUAAUGUGAAUUGCAGAAUUCAGUGAAUCAUCGAAUCUUUGAACGCACCUUGCGCUCCUUGGUAUUCCUUGGAGCAUGCCUGUUUGAGUAUCAUGAAAUCUUCAAAGUAAAUCUUUUGUUAACUCAAUUGGUUUCUACUUUGGUAUUGGAGGUCUUUGCAGCUUCACACCUGCUCCUCUUUGUUCAUUAGCUGGAUCUCAGUGUUAUGCUUGGUUCCACUCGGCGUGAUAAGUUAUCUAUUGCUGAGGACACUGUAAAAGGUGGCCAAGGUAAAUGCAGAUGAACCGCUUCUAAUAGUCCAUUGACUUGGACAAUACUUUUAUGAUCUGAUCUCAAAUCAGGUAGGACUACCCGCUGAACUUAAGC